rnacentral:rRNA from 1 species
UACGGUGGGGGUAAGCGUUGUUCGGAAUUACUGGGCGUAAAGGGCUCGUAGGCGGCCAACUAAGUCAUACGUGAAAUCCCUCAGCUUAACUGGGGAACUGCGUGUGAUACUGGAUGGCUUGGAUUUGGGAGAGGGAUGCGGAAUUCCAGGUGUAGCGGUGAAAUGCGUAGAUAUCUGGAAGAACACCCGUGGCGAAGGCGGCUCUCUGGGACGGUACUGACGCUGAGACGCGAAAGCGUGGGGAGCGAACAGG